GUAGUAGCUCAUCCAAAAAGACGAUUUGGCAUCCCCAUGGAUCGGAUUGGUAGAAACCGGCUUUCAAAUUCUAGAGGCUAAUUGAUAUCAAGUAUGCAACUUCCUUGGGUGAAAUGACACAGAAAUGUGGAAGAUGCUUCCGUGAAGUUCUUCAUACUCCUUAAGCAUAAAAUUUUAAAGAACCAGCCUUCUGCAAAUCUUUUCCAAACCUUGAACUUCAGUCCAUCACGUCACAGUAUUGUUUUGGUUUCAUUAAAUUAUGCAGAUCACUUCAAUGCAUGUAUAUUUUAAAUAUGUAUGUUAAUUAUUCAGGCAUGGUUACCUGCUCRCCAGACCUCAUUUUUUUUAAUCACAUUCAAAAAGCAUGAUAUAGAGAAAUACCUUCUAUAAGUAUGUACAAUUCUUCUUCUUUUUUUUCAGUUAAAGAAUAGUAAUGAGAGAGAUUUGAGUCUUAAAACUAGAUAAAAUCUGUUUGUUCAUUAUUGGGUAGUAAGGAAAGGCCAUGAUGUGUAUUUUCGCUGGAGUACAUUCACYUGUCUCUUUUUCUUUGUCCAUAAACUUGUUGGUAAUAAUAAUAAUACUAGACUUUUAUCAUAUUCAAGUUUUGUCCACUUUAACCAAAUAAAACACAGCCCCAGUGAGCUGCAAAG